CAGUCGCCACGGUAAUACGUAGGGUGCGAGCGUUAAUCGGAAUUACUGGGCGUAAAGCGUGCGCAGGCGGUUCGUUAAGACAGAUGUGAAAUCCCCGGGCUUAACCUGGGAACUGCAUUUGUGACUGGCGAGCUAGAGUAUGGCAGAGGGGGGUAGAAUUCCACGUGUAGCAGUGAGAUGCGUAGAGAUGUGGAGGAAUACCGAUGGCGAAGGCAGCCCCCUGGGCCAAUACUGACGCUCAUGCACGAAAGCGUGGGGAGCAAACAGGAUUAGAUACCCCUGUAGUCCCUGUCUCUUAUAC
rnacentral:rRNA from 1 species